rnacentral:tRNA from 1 species
AUUUCUUAUUAUUUAUAUAGUUUAAAAAACAUUACAUUUUCAUUGUAAAAUUAAAUAUUUAUUAUUUUAUAA